ACUCGACCACACGAAGCUGGAAUCGCUAGUAAUCGCGAAUCAGCAUGUCGCGGUGAAUACGUUCCCGGGUCUUGUACACACCGCCCGUCACACCAUGGGAGGUCAGCAACGCCCGAAGUCAGUGACCCAACCUUUAAGGAGGGAGCUGCCGAAGGCGGGGCAGGUGACUGGAGUGAAGUCGUAACAAGGUAAC
rnacentral:rRNA from 1 species